rnacentral:rRNA from 1 species
GAUGAACGCUGGCGGCGUGCCUAAUACAUGCAAGUCGAGCGAACAGACGAGGAGCUUGCUCCUCUGACGAUAGCGGCGGACGUGUGAGUAACACGUGGAUACCCUCCCUAUCAGACUGGGAUAACUUCGGGAAACCGGAGCUAAUACCGGAUAAUAUAUUACACCGCAUGGUUCAAUUGUGAAAGACGGUUUUGCUGUCACUUAUAGAUGGAUUUGCGCCGCAUUAGCUAGUUGGUCAGGUAACGGGUUACCAAGGCAACGAUGCGUAGCCGAACUGAGAGGGGGAUAGGCGGCCUGGGAACGGAACCGGCGACCCGGGGCCUGAGAGACGGAGCAGAAGGGAAUGGGACGCAGUGGGGGAAAGCUUUACGGAGCAAGGGCGAGUGAGAUAUGAAGGUCCUCGGAUCGGAAAACCCUGUUAUUAGGGAAGAACAAAUGUGUAAGGAAAUAUGCACGUAGUGACGGUACCUAAACAGAAAGCCACGGCUAACUACGUG